UGUCAGGUAGUCUAGUGGCUAGAAAUUCACUUUUAAAGUGAAUAAGUGGGGUGUCCGGGGUUCGAACCCCGGUCCUGCAU
rnacentral:tRNA from 1 species